UUUAAUUCUUCUUCUUCUCUUUGGUUUCCGUCCAUCUCUUGCGAGAUGUUCACUUGUGAAAUUGAAGUUAUUAGAGGACGAGGAGGGUCAUCGAAAUGUUUCUAGCCAAUGUGGUUGAUUUGAUUUUGAUUGGAAUAACAUCCAUUAUGGAGGUUUUGGUUCGCUUGGUUGGGGCUGAAAGAUCAUGUCUAUCCCAAAUUUCUG